GACAGAGGGUGCAAACGUUGUUCGGAAUUACUGGGCGUAAAGCGCGUGUAGGCGGCUAGGUAAGUCGGGCGUGAAAUCCCACGGCUCAACCGUGGAAGUGCACUCGAAACUGCAUAGCUAGAGUCCUGGAGAGGAAGGUGGAAUGCCUGGUGUAGAGGUGAAAUUCGUAGAUAUCAAGCGGAACACCGGUGGCGAAGGCGGCCUUCUGGACAGUGACUGACGCUGAGACGCGAAAGCUAGGGGAGCGAACGGG
rnacentral:rRNA from 1 species